UUAUUGUAAUGUUGCAGUUAUUAUGAUAGUACAUCCUAUUUUGGUACCUUGGAGAAAUGGGAAAGAAAGGUUGACUGAAUUGUUUCCAACAACUGCAAGAUUAGGAAACUAUGUGGACACACUUACGCUUUUCUUCCUCAUUCAGGCCAACAUUGCAAAAAAGGAAAACAUCAAGAUCCAUGGUUUUUGAGCCCUGUUAGCAUAAACAAAUCUCCAUAUGCAAAUUAUCUAUUGUUGGGGGGCAGUAACUACUAGUAUAAUGUGAAAGAGUUAUAUGUGGUCAAAACUGUUUGAAAUCUGUUUGUUAGAUGGAUUUGAGAUUUGUUUUGUUGGGGGGAAGUGUGUUAGUUUGCCAUUUACGCAAGUCCAAUUUGUGCUAUCAGUAUGUGUUGAGGAAGGGAUUAAUAAAUUUCUUAAUUUGCCUCCACAGUGCGGAAAAAGACCAAAAAGAUGUAGAAAUUCCAGUGGUGAGAAAGUUUCAGGAUGUAUUUCCAAAUGAGCUACUAGGUUUACCAUCACAUAGAGAGUUUGAUUUCUCUAUUGAAGUAUAUCCAAGAACGGAUCCUAUUUCAGUGGCCCCCUAUAGGAUGACCCCGCUUGAGUUGAAGGAGUUGAAAUCUCAGUUGGAGGACUUGUUGAGCAAGGGAUUUAUUUGUCCUAGUACAUCGCCAUGGGAAGCCCCAAUGUUGUUUGUGAAGAAGAAAGAUGGCAUGUUGAGGUUGUGUAUUGACUAUAGGAAGUUGAAUAGAGUCACUAUGAAGAAUAAGUAUGCUCUUUCAAGGAUAGAUGAUUUGUUUGAUCAGUUGAAGGGUGCAAAGUAUUUUAGUAAGAUUAACUUGAAAACUAGGUAUCAUCAACUGAGGGUUAGAGAGAAGAAGAUGUCCCAAGAAUGCUUUUAGAAUGAGAUAUGGACAUUACAAAUUUUUAGUCAUGCCUUUUGGAUUAAUUAAUGCCCCCAUUGCUUUUAUGGAUUUAGUGAAUAAAAUAUUUCAUGCUUACUUGGAUCAAUUUGUGAUUGUCUUUGUGGAUGACAUCUUGAUUUACUCGAGGAGUUUGGAGGAGCAUAAGCAACAUUUGGUGACCACUCUUAGAACUUUGAGAAGACACUAGUUGUAUGGAAAGCUAGACAAAAGUGAAUUUUGUCUCACUAAAGUGAAUUUCUUAGGCCAUGUGGUUCCUGAGGCAAGAAUAGCAGUGGACCAUUCCAAGGUGGAAGCUAUGCAGGAUUGAUAGAGGCCUACUAAUCUAUUUGAGGUUAAGAGUUUCUUGGGUUUGGUUGGAUACUAUAAGAGGUUUGUGGAUGGUUUCUCUAGAAUUGUAGCAUCGAUGAUUCAAUUGACUAGGAAAGAAGUCAAAUUCAAAUGGAAUGAGGAGUGUGACAAUUCUUUCCAGGAGUUGAAACAAAAAUUGACCACUGCUCUAGUGUUAACGACCCCCAUUAAUGGAGAGUUUACGAUUUAUUGUGAUGCUUCUAUAGUUGGGCUAAGGUGCGUGCUAAUGCAGCAAGGCAAGGUGAUGGCUUAUGCCUCAAGGUAAUUAAGGCUGCAUGAACGGAACUAUCCAACACAUGAUUUGGAGCUUGCAGCAAUGGUGUUUGCCCUCAAGACUUGGAGACACUAUUUGUAUGGAGAGAAGUUUAAGGUGUAUUAUGAUUAUAAGAGUUUGAAAUUCAUCUUCACUCAAAAGGAUUUGAACUCUAGGCAAAGAAGAUGGAUGGAGGCGUUAGAAGAUUAUGAUUUUGCUCUUCACUACCAUCUUGGAAAGGUGAAUGUUGUAGCAGACGCCCCGAGUAGAAAGAACUAUGGCCAGUUGUCUAGCUUAUGAUUGAGAGAGUUCGAGAUUUAUGCAGUUAUUGAAGAUUUUAAGUUAUGUCUUGGUUGGGAAGGAUAAGGCCCAUGCUUGUAUAGUAUGCCAGCUAGACCAAUGAUUAUCCAAAGAAUAGUGGAGGCUUAAGUUCAUAAUGAGCUUUUAGAGAAGGUUAAAGCCCAGUUGGUAGAAGGUGAAGUAGAUGAAAAUUGGUCUAUGCAUGUAGAUGGGAGUGUGAGAUUUAAAGGAAGAUUGUGUGUUCCAAGCAAAGUUUUUAAAGGCGAAAGCGUAAGGCGAGGCGUUUUUGUGUUCGUGAGGCGAGGCGUAAGCCUCGAGGCGUUGAGGCGAAUGUGAAGAAACCAUAUGAUCCGAUGAUGCUUGCGUCUCUUGGGAGUUGGAUGACACAACUCUAAUGGCAUCAACAUUGAAUAAUUCAUUAUCUUGAAGCCAACAAAGAUCAAGGGGGAGGAGGGGAUCUUCUUUCUCCGCAAUCCAUUCAUCAUCAGAAUCAAUCUCCUCUACCAAGAUUGGAUCAACAUUUUGUUUCCUUUGUAGACUUCGCUCUCUCAAUCUAGUGUUGUACCUUACAUACACUAGAGCAUUCAACCUUUGAUGUUCAAGUCUAUUUCUUUUUUUUGUAUGGAUCUACAAAUAAUAAAAGAAACAAUUUUAUGUGUUAAAAUGAAAUAAA